rnacentral:sRNA from 1 species
GUAUCAAUUUGUUGAGGAGAAAUAAAAUGAAUAUGAGUAUCUAUUCCACCAGCUGUUACUAUAAGACCUUCAGCAGAAAUUGCUUCAGUUGAUGCUCCUACUGUCAUACCUUUAGUUACUCCAUCUAAAACAUCUGGAUUUCCUGCCUUUCCUAUUCCAACUAUAUACCCAUCUUUAAUUCCUAUAUCAGCUUUAUAAACUCCUGUAUAAUCUAAAAUUAAGGCAUUAGUUAUUACU